CGGAGGGUGCAAGCAUUGAUCGGAAUUACUGGGUGUAAAGGGCGCGUAGGCGGCAGAAAAAGUCGGAUGUGAAAUUCCGGGGCUCAACCCCGGAGCUGCAUUUGAAACUAUUCAGCUAGAGGUUGGUAAGGGAAAACGGAAUUCCACGUGUAGCGGUGAAAUGCGUAGAUAUGUGGAAGAACACCGGUGGUGAAGACGGUUUUCUGUGCUAAACCUGACGCUGAGGCGCGAAAGCUAGGGAGCAAACAGGAUUAGAUACCCUGGUAGUCCUAGCCGUAAACGAUGCAUACUAGAAGUAGGAGGGCUCAACCCUUUCUGUUUCGGAGCUAACGCGUUAAGUAUGCCACCUGGGGAGUACGCUCGCAAGGGUG
rnacentral:rRNA from 1 species